rnacentral:rRNA from 1 species
GACGAACGCUGGCGGCGUGCUUAACACAUGCAAGUCGAACGGAAAGGCCCUGCUUGCAGGGUACUCGAGUGGCGAACGGGUGAAUAACACGUGGGUGAUCUGCCCUGCACUUCGGGAUAAGCCUGGGAAACUGGGUCUAAUACCGGAUAGGAGCCAUUUUUAGUGUGAUGGUUGGAAAGUUUUUUCGGUGUAGGAUGAGCUCGCGGCCUAUCAGCUUGUUGGUGGGGUAAUGGCCUACCAAGGCGGCGACGGGUAGCCGGCCUGAGAGGGUGGACGGCCACAUUGGGACUGAGAUACGGCCCAGACUCCUACGGGAGGCAGCAGUGAGGAAUAUUGCACAAUGGGCGCAAGCCUGAUGCAGCGACGCCGCGUGGGGGAUGACGGCCUUCGGGUUGUAAACUCCUUUCGCUAGGGACGAAGCUUUUUGUGACGGUACCUAGAUAAGAAGCACCGGCUAACUACGUG